AGCCCCAUAGACAAGCGGUUAAGUCGUCACCCUUUCACGGUGGAGUCACGGGUUCGAAUCCCGUUGGGGUUACUA
rnacentral:tRNA from 1 species